ACUUACACAUGCAAGCAUCCGCACCCCGGUGAGAAUGCCCUCUGAAUCUCCAAGACUAAGAGGAGCGGGUAUCAAGCACACAUCCUGUAGCUCACAACACCUUGCUUAACCACACCCCCACGGGAGACAGCAGUGACAAAAAUUAAGCUAUAAACGAAAGUUUGACUAAGUUAUAUUGACCAGGGUUGGUAAAUCUCGUGCCAGCCACCGCGGUCAUACGAUUAACCCAAGCUAACAGGAAUACGGCGUAAAACGUGUUUAAGCACCAUAUCAAAUAGAGUUAAAUUUUAAUUAAACUGUAAAAAGCCAUAAUUAUAAUAAAAAUAAAUGACGAAAGUAACUCUAUGACAGCUGACACACUAUAGCUAAGAUCCAAACUGGGAUUAGAUACCCCACUAUGCUUAGCCCUAAACAUAAAUAAUUAUAAAAACAAAAUUAUUCGCCAGAGUACUACCGGCAACAGCCUAAAACUCAAAGGACUUGGCGGUGCUUUACACCCUUCUAGAGGAGCCUGUUCUGUAAUCGAUAAACCCCGAUAGACCUCACCAAUUCUUGCUAAUACAGUCUAUAUACCGCCAUCUUCAGCAAACCCUAAAAAGGAAUAAAAGUAAGCAUAAUCACAACACAUAAAAACGUUAGGUCAAGGUGUAACCUAUGAAAUGGAAAGAAAUGGGCUACAUUUUCUACCACAAGAAUAUCACACGAAAGUUAUUAUGAAACUAAUAACCAAAGGAGGAUUUAGUAGUAAACUAAGAAUAGAGUGC
rnacentral:rRNA from 1 species